UUCUGCUUUCCUGCCACAGUUUGGGUCAUUCCCCAGGGUUCCCAGCCAGCCAAUGCCUGCUCGCAUUUCUUGGCCGGCCCCACCCCAAGGUGUCUCACCCUCACUCACUGCUCCCUCUUCACAUAUCUUUGGGCAGCUGCAAGGGGCAGGUUGCUGAGAGGGUAGGGGCUUUUCCCCCAUGGUUCCCUGCUGUUUCUUUGUGGCUAUGCUGGCCCCUCUGGUGUUAGCCCUGGAACAGUCUCCAGACAUGGUGAUAAAAGAAGGCCAGUCCGUGAAAGUGGAAUGUUCCAAGAAGAAAUCCUCCAGCUCAGCUAUGUACUGGUUCAUGCUGCCUUCAGAGAAGAAUUCCAGUCUGACCCUACUGGCUUCUGCAAUACAAGGCAGUAAUGCAGCUGUGGAGAAGGAGUUUGAGAACCAUUUCAAGAGCAGCAAUAUAAAAGGAGACAGUAUCACCCUCUCAAUAGACCAUGCCUUUCUCAAUCACUCUGGCACAUAUUUCUGUGCUGAGAGUGAACACAGUGGUGAGGCUGCUGAGGGAGCUGAGCACAAACUUCUCCCUGCACAAACAGGACCUGCUUUCCACCUCAUGGGUGCUGCAGGAGGCAGGGUGAUCUCUUCUCACUCAUUAGCUCCUCUGCUUCCCAGCCUUCCCUUUUUCCUCUUCUCACAUGCUGAGAGUUUAUUUGUCCUGCCUUCUCUCCUUGCCACUCCACGCCUCCCUUUUUGUUACUCUUGGUUUAACUCUUACUUGCAAUACACUUAACUUCUGCCAA